rnacentral:miRNA from 1 species
CCACCAUCAUCCUAACCACACAUC